GGAGUCUCAUCAGUUCAACUGUGCUUAGCUGUGGAUGUCUCUGGUCCCAGGCUACCAGACUUGCUUCUUUGCCUGAUUUGGAUUUGCCUUAAUGCUGUGGACAUGCCUAGUGAUUAUGAGGUUGUGCCUGUCAUUGGGCCUGAUCCUGGCUCAUGUUCCUGGCUUGACCUUACCUCAUAGAGUUGCUUGUUGACCUGGAUUCUUGGUGGAACCUGUCUGCUACCUGGACCUGCCCAGCUCACCUUGUACAGGCACAAAGCAAGCUGUUGGCUGGUUCAGAGUUCAAGCAGAAUGCCUGGUAACACUCUUUCAGCUUUUAUACAUAUGGGGUUUUUUUUAGGGGGGGAUGAUAGUUACAAAAUUGAGCAUGCCAAGUAUCAUGUUGUCUUUAGAAUACUUACAGCUGGAGAAGCAAGGACAAAACAAUGGUACUUGGGCUAUUUUGCUUUAAAAUUUUACUACACUUAUGUUUUGCUAAAAACACACUUAAGGUUCUGAUUGUAAAGCAUUUUGUAAUAAAUAAGUCUUGGAUAAAUCUUUGGGACAGAUUCCCUGAUUUGGCCAUUUCAAAGCUUUUGUUAAAUAGACUCCAUUUCAGUCUCCAAUGUUUAUUCUAUUUAGCUGCUUCAUAAUGCAUUUCUGACCUUUUCUGCAAAAAAAGAGUCCUGGAGCACAAAUCCUUUGUCAUGAUUGUGAAAGUAAAGCUCCAGUUUGGGUACAUUGUGUUACUAAGGGAAUUCUUGGUUGCUUUCCUGCUGUGUCAUGCUGUAAAACCUCUCCUCUUAGAUAAACAAAAGGCAACCUAUAGUUCUAAACAUUAUCCAGAAACAAGUGACUACAUGAUCACUGUUGUUUAGAACAGCCAGCAUCAUGACAAAAUGAGGCUACUUUUUUAGCAGUAGCUCUGUUGUGAAGUAACUUGAGAUUAUUACUGCCCGCUGGAACCGGCGUUCAACUUGGACAUUAAACCAUCUAAUUUAUUCAUGGAACUUGUAGAUCACAGUGUCUUGAAGGUUUUGCAAUAGUGCAGGAACCAAUCCUGAAGGCAUGACUAUUUCUCUACAAGUAAAGAGCUGUAUGGAAUGUCUCUCAAUUGCUUCAAUUUUCUGUGAUUGAAUAUUUAAAACUUUUCAUAAAGUGAACCACAGGAGAAACUAUUCAUCCCCAGA